AUCAGUUAUCGUUUAUUUGAUAGUACCUUACCACUUGGAUAACCGUGGUAAUUCUAGAGCUAAUACAUGCUAAAAACCUCGACUUCGGGAGGGGUGUGUUUAUUAGAUAAAAAACCAAUGCCCUUCGGGGCUCUUUGGUGAUUCAUGAUAACCUAACGGAUCGCAUGGCCUUGCGCUGGCGACGGUUCAUUCAAAUUUCUGCCCUAUCAACUUUCGAUGGUAAGGUAUUGGCUUACCAUGGUUUCAACGGGUAACGGGGAAUUAGGGUUCGAUUCCGGAGAGGGAGCCUGAGAAACGGCUACCACAUCCAAGGAAGGCAGCAGGCGCGCAAAUUACCCAAUCCCGACACGGGGAGGUAGUGACAAUAAAUACUGAUACAGGGCUCUUUUGGGUCUUGUAAUUGGAAUGAGUACAAUUUAAACCCCUUAACGAGGAACAAUUGGAGGGCAAGUCUGGUGCCAGCAGCCGCGGUAAUUCCAGCUCCAAUAGCGUAUAUUAAAGUUGUUGCAGUUAAAAAGCUCGUAGUUGAAACUUGGGUCUGGCUAGCGGGUCCGCCUCACCGCGUGCACUUGUCCGGCUGGACCUUUCCUUCUGGAGAACCUCAUGCCCUUCACUGGGUGUGUUGGGGAACCAGGACUUUUACUUUGAAAAAAUUAGAGUGUUCAAAGCAGGCCUUUGCUCGAAUACGUUAGCAUGGAAUAAUAGAAUAGGACGUGCGGUCCUAUUUUGUUGGUUUCUAGGAUCGCCGUAAUGAUUAAUAGGGAUAGUCGGGGGCAUCAGUAUUCAAUUGUCAGAGGUGAAAUUCUUGGAUUUAUUGAAGACUAACUACUGCGAAAGCAUUUGCCAAGGAUGUUUUCAUUAAUCAGUGAACGAAAGUUGGGGGAUCGAAG
rnacentral:rRNA from 2 species